UGUAGCAUAAUGCUCGACACAUAUUUGUUGAAGAUACAAUUGAAUAGCUAACGUGAACAACGUGCAUGACAUACGUGUGAGGAAUGGUAAUGUUUACUUUCCACAAGCUAUGGUGCUUGGUAUAAAUUUUCUGAAAAUCGCGGUGCAUCAUUUGUUAAACACAGGCAAUAAUCAAAAUAUUAAUUAUAAAAGUAAGGUUAUUCAUAUACCGAAGAAUAAUAACGAAAGUGGAGUUUUUGAAUAAAGGAACAAUAAAAAUGACCAACGGUUGGUUCCGAAAUUAUAGUAUAAGGCGUAAAGAUUUGAAACAGAUUUCGCUGGAAAAUAUAUUUGAGAAAAUCCAGAGUCGUGUAACUUAGGAA
rnacentral:lncRNA from 1 species